rnacentral:rRNA from 1 species
GAUGAACGCUGGCGGCGUGCCUAAUACAUGCAAGUAGAACGCACAGUUUAUACCGUAGCUUGCUACACCAUAAACUGUGAGGUGCGAAUGGGUGAGUAACGCGUAGGUAAUCUGUCUGGUAGCGGGGGGUAACUAUUGGAAACGUUAGCUAAUAUCGCAUAAUAUUGAUUAUUGCAUGGUAAUUGAUUGAAUGAUGCUAUUGCAUCACUACUAGCUGGACCUGGGUUGUAUUAGCUAGUAGGUCAGGUAACGGCUGACCAAGGGACGGAUCAAUAGCGGACCUGAGAGGGGGAUCGGCACAACGGGAACGGAGAAACGGCCCAGACUCCUACGGGAGGCAGAAGUGGGGAAUUGUGGGCAAUGGGCGAAAGCCUGACGGAGCAAGGCCGCGUGGGUGAAGAAGGUUUUCGGGUCGUAAAGCCCGGUUUUAGGGAAAGAAAGGUUGUAGGGGUGAAAGUUCCCGUUGUGACGGUACCCUAACAAAAAGCGACGGCUAACUACGUG